rnacentral:rRNA from 1 species
UACGGAGGAAGCUAGCGUUGUUCGGAAUUACUGGGCGUAAAGCGCACGUAGGCGGCUACUCAAGUCAGAGGUGAAAGCCCGGGGCUCAACCCCGGAAUAGCCUUUGAAACUGGAAAACUUGAAUCUUGGAGAGGUCAGUGGAAUUCCGAGUGUAGAGGUGAAAUUCGUAGAUAUUCGGAAGAACACCAGUGGCGAAGGCGACUGACUGGACAAGUAUUGACGCUGAGGUGCGAAAGCGUGGGGAGCAAAC